AAUACAACAAUAUGAAGAAAUUGAAGAAGGCAGGAGUUUAAGGUCCUUAUCUGUUCCUCAGUGUUUCAAGUUACAGAAGUGAAGAAUUUCAAUUUCAAUUCAUUUGAGGGAGUGUGCUCCUAGACAUUAAUUCAUAAUGAAUUGGCGCACUUAUUUUUUUAUUAUUAUUACUAAUUUACUUUCAAGGACAUAAAAGCAUGCCACAGAGGUAUAAAAUUAAAUACCACUUCAAAUUUUUCAUUUCAUAGUUGUCUUUUCUCAAGCUAGCCAUUAAUUCCUGGUGAUUGAUAACAGUUUCUAAAAGCAGUUACUUUCACAAAUAUUCUCUAAAAAUCCAGUGUUUGGCAGAAGACAAAAAAAAAAAAAAAAAAAAAAACUUGAACAUGCAAAUGUGUGUGUUUUAACAAGAAAAAAUGAUUUGCUUUCCAAAGAUCCAUAAAUACUAAUUUAGUUCAUUAACUGUUGAGAUUACCGAUAAAGCUCUCCUUGGUUUCAAUACAGGUGAAAAUACUAAAAUUUAAAAUACCCUGCUGUUGAGAAUAUGAGCAUCUCUAGAGCCUUUUUUUUUUCUAUUUUCAUUCCUUGUGCAACUCAAUUCUGUAUUCAGAAAAGUGUCACCUUUGCCAUUUUAUCAUUUUUUAUGACAUAACCGUACAAUACUUUACUUAUUCCCAAUUCCAUAAGGCAAAAGAAAAAGAAGAUAAUUCACAUUUACUGAUUUGUAAAGAAGUUAAACCUGAGACAGGUAUGCAACUGAGCUGGGUAUACCUUAAAUGAAUUCUGUCAAUGAACUUAGUGAUACAAAGGGCCAAAUUUGCCUCAAAUUCAUGAGUACAUGCUCAGACAUACAUUUCCAUAUCUGGAAACAAUUCUUGUGAAAUUCUGAAGAGGAAAAAUGUGUAUGCAUCUCUGUUUUCCUUGGUUUUCCUUGCAUUCAAGCAUGAAUUUACAUAAAAUAUGGAGUGUGUAAAUGUGAGGCCUGAUUUACCAUUUCAUAGACUAAGUCAGAAUCACAGAAGGGCUUGGGUUGGAAGGAUGCUUAGAGAUUUGCUUCAGCUCCUCUGCCAUGAGCAGGGUUGCCACCUACUAGAUACGGCUGACCAAUUUCCACUGUAUUUCAUCUGCUUCAGUGGCAUAUGUUUAUAUGCUACCAUUUGUUGAAGUCAUCAUAUGCUGACUAUGGACAUGCAAACUGCCUCCGUGUCCCUUCAACCAGUAUUUAUAUUUAACUGUUCAAAGCCAUACCAAAGUGAGGAACUUGAUCCCAGGCUAAGAACCUGUCCUUAGCCUAGUUUUCCUGCCACUGGUUUGUCUGUUCCUGCCCAAGGCAAGUGCUGUACUGGCAAACUUGAACUUUGUCUUUCAUUUCAAGGAUGAUUAUACUCCUUUGGACAGAUAAUAAGCAUAACUUUUUUUCAUCAACUUUACAUGAGAUGCUUACAUGCUAUCUGGUGAGCUUCAAGAAGACAAGCUGUUCUGUUUGACCAAAAUAUGAAAUUGUCCUUUUACCUGAGGCAUCGCUAUUACAGAUAGCAUGGUCAGAAAACACUAGGUUAUUAAUCUGAAUUUAAAGUGCAGUAAAGGGCAUUAACUGUCAUACCUCUCAGUCAGAAUUCAGAUCUUCUAAAGUUAAAAUUUGGAUAACAUCUUACAUGUCAUCUACUUCAAACCAAAGCACCUGCAUGAUGACUUCAGAGUUAUGUCACCAGUCAUUUCUGCCCUCACACACAGAAAAAAAAUGUUUCCUAUUUCACCUCUCUACUUUUUAACCAUUUAUUCCUCUUUUGCCUGGAAUAAAUGUCUUUGCGCCUGUUCUGCAGUGCAAGUUAUUUCUGUAACAAGAAGUUGGAAUUCAUUCUUUAUCCAUAAAACCUGUGGACACCAUGUUCUAAAUCAAGAGAGAAUACAGUCCAAUUCAUUUUGCGGUGGAAAUAAACUUCCUGGAUGUAACUAUUUAAUGCCUUACACCUUCACAGACUGUUAGUCAAUGCUGUGGCAGAGAAUGUGAACUCCAGUCAGUCUCCUGCAUAAAUUAGUAAAUCUAUCUCAAAGAAAAGGAAAAAAUUGUAUUUUAUACAUUCCCACUUUAUUUCUUUAAAGUGGGAAAUGAGGGAAGAAACUUUAACAUCAAUAGUAAGUACACAUAUGUUAUACGUUAAAUAACAGAAUCACUACUUUUGAAAGGAGAUGCCCUCGGAUGUGAAACAAUUAGACCAGUUUUGGAUUUUCAAACUGGAAAACAUCAUGGUAAUGAAUAUUUAGGAGGUAAUCUAGUUAAAGUGUAGAAUGAAUGUCUUUUGUCUUCAUUGUGUCUUUAGUUUGUGUUUAACAAUACAAAUAGAAAAAAAACAUUUAAAAAUAAGAGCUAUAAAAUAAAGGGUGGAAGCAAAUAAGCUUAAUAUCUCUCACAUUAGACAUCUUUAUGUCUUAAUCAAACAGUAGAUAUCAUGUUCAUUUUUACGUAUAGUUUGUCUUGAGUAUGUAAGUAAGUAAAAUGUGAGCUGUAAAUAAAAUCAUUGUUUUAUUUGUACAGAUACGAUUUUCCACUGUUUAUUAUUUCAGAGAUUAUUGAAUGGUAUACAGUUACUAGACAAUGGAAAUAUAGCCAGGCUCCACAAGGCUUAUUUGUUUGGAGUGUUAUAAAAGGAAUGAUUUUUGUAAAGGUCAUCAUGUUUCCAAACAGGAGGAAGUGAUAGGGAAAAUAAAUGUUGAUAUCCGAUUUUUAAAACUUGUGGAAGUCUUUGAUCCUAUGAGACAAUUAAUGCAUUUCUAAUUUUACAUAUGCAUUGUAGGAAAAUAAUGAGAUUGAGAAGAUAUGUGUGAAAAUAUAUCUUUUAAAAUUUUAGUAACAUCUUACAUUUUUGUUAAUAUGAGUCAUUAUCUUUUGUUCAGCAAUGUUCUAAUAAUCUCCAAAGAGAACCUGUACACAAGAUAGUCAUAAAAAAAUUCCUUUGUAUUAUAUGCUUCAUUAACACAUUAGGAAGUAUUACUCCUACAAACAAGAGCAUACCAUUUAAAAAUACAAGCAACGUAUGAAGGCAUGGGAAUGCAAUUAAAUGUGUGUUUUUUGUAUAUAUAUAGGUGUGUGUGUAUGCAUAUACAUACAUGUGUGCAAGCACAUACAUACAUGUGGGCAUACACACAUUUAUGCAUAUGCUCUGACUAUAAAUUGAUAUGAGUUAAACAGUACAGUCUUUAUGCUUUCCCAUUUGUUCUGUAAAGAAGGUAAAUUAUGAACAAUUACCCUUUAAAGUCAUUUGUAGUAUCGUUGUGCAUUUUAUAAUAUGAGUGCUGUCUGUCAAUCUGUUCUAGUUUCUUUAAAAAUAGUUUAAUGCUUGCAGUCACAUAGGUUCGUUAAAACUUAAAUAAGUAGUAUUUUUGAGCUGUGGUCAUAUAUUGUGACAUUAGCUUUUAGGCCACAGAGCAUGCUAGUGUUCUCUACUGCUUCUCUUAAGAGACUGGUUUGAUCAAAAACUCUGACUUGUUAUCUGGAAAGCCUCACUUCUUUUGUUUAGGUGGACAUUUCCCGGAAUUAUGUGUAUUCCACUGCUUCUUCUGAUGUCAUUGGGUUAUGCUUCCAGAUGAGUUGUUGAGUUUUAUUUAGCACAAGCUAGCUGAUAAAGCAUGCUUGGUAUGUUUUGUAGACAGCGAUAUUUCAAAGGUUACAAAAUCUUGAAAAAGUUAUAAGGAACACAGACAAAAAAAGUCCAUCAUUUCCUAUUUUGUAGCAAAGUAUGUUUUUAGGAAGUUUUAUUGCUGCUUCUCUUGUUAUCUGAAGGUUGUUUCAGUCAUUAAUGUAGUGUAAAAUAGUCUAAAUGAUUUUGGACAAUGUAAACCAGAAAUUGAAGGAAGAAUCUGUCUUUGACUCCUCUUUUCUUGGGCAGUUCCAAUUAGUCUUGACUGAAUGUGUAACAGAGCAGCUCUACUAGCUGUGGAUCGAUAAUUACAGGGUGUGUAAUUCCAUUUGUACAGAGGAAGGAUGUCUACUUUUACCAGCUAACAGUGUGACUGCUUUGUCCUGAUGCAGUAGUACAAAACUACAGAAGGAAGCCCCUUGCCUAGCACAUUGCUUUGCCACAGUCUUUGGAAACUGUACGUCUUUUGGAGUCCUCUUUAAUCUGGGUACCUCAACUGUUUUGUUGGAUUAUCCAAAUAGUUUCUGUUAAAUCAGUUGAAUGAGAACCUGGAUUCCAAUCUGUAGAGCAAGUUGGAAGAACGCAGAUCACAUGAGAGUCCAGUCAAGUUAUCUAAGUGUUUAUUAUUUGGAUAUGAUUCAUCUAAAUGAUAGCUGUGUUUCUCAGAAAUUCAUAUACUAUAUUCUCAUUAAUUUAGUAGGUUAAGUAAUUUAUGAACACGUAUGAUAUAUUUAUUUUUAGUCAUAUACAUAUCUGUCAGUGAUACAUGUACUAUACAAUUCAAAUAAGUGGAAGGAAUAUAACUUGGCUUCACCCUGGAAUGCAUAUGAUGACCGUUGCCAGGAAGUUUAGUUAUGUUAAAAAGGCAUUGGAAUGUGCUAUCAGGAUACUGCAACUUGGGAACUUGUACUUCCAAUUGGUAGUACUAUACUUCCUUUCAUUUCAUGCUCAUUGGUUACUAAUCAGUAAAAAGUAAAAAAUAUGUAUAACAUUAAAACAUAUUUCACCAAUGUGAUUUUGAUAAUGAACUUCGACAGGUUGUUUUUUAUUAUGGAAAUAUUUAUCCAUUUCCAUUCAAAUCGCAAGUAGAAAUAACACUUCGUACUUGAACGAGAAUAAGACAUAAAAUGGUGUUGUGGUUAUGUCUUAUUAUUGAAAGCUAAAUAUCAGGAAUCCAUUUAAUAUUUUCUAGUUUUCAUCUUUCUGAUUCUUCACAAUUAUGAAACUCGUUAUUCCAAGUGAAAAUACAUAGCAGAGCAUUCUUAUAGUUUGUUAUUAUUUGUGCUAAUUGGAAAAUAGAACUUGAGAUUUUGGAAAGUGGUAAUUCUAAGAUUGCCUUUGACUUAAUUAUGUGGGCUUAUUAAAAUAUUUCAACAUAAUAAUAAACCAAAUUUCUUAGAUAUUGUAUAUUAACAGCAUUGAAGACAAAAAUGUAUGUAAUUGAAUAAAAUUUACACUGCUUCAGAUCAAUGGUGCUUUUAAAUAUCUGUGUGUGAGUUAAGAGAAAGCACUGUGAGAGUAGAAUGCUAAUUUUAAACUUUAAAUAUAAUUAAAUAACUAGAGUUAAGUAGAGUAAGUUUAAGUUACUAGUUAUUUAAGGGCAAUUAAAAGUACACUGAACUGUAGCUAAUAGCUUUUUGUUAGCUGUUUUCAUCUUUUAUAAAUUAGCUAUUUUCAUUGAAAAAAAUAAAUAAAGUAGCAUCAGCUCCCAGGAAGCUGUUUGUAAAUUUUAUGCUGUUUGUAAACAUUCAUUUCUAAACUAAAACAUCUUUAAUAUAUCUGUGCUGUGAAAGGGAUUAAUAACCUCUUUCUAAAUCUGAUGUUCCUUCAGUCCUACCAUCUGAAUUGCCAUGUUUACAAUAAGAUACACAUAGUACAUAUCUUCUGGCCUUCAAAUUUGUAUGCCAGAUUAGGGAAGCAGUUUCUUAAACCAUGUGGCACGGGCAAAACUGACAGAAUUAAACAUUUCUAAAGAAUUUAAGGUCUGUGUGAUGAAAUGUGGUGAAAAUGUGUUACAGAAACAAGUAGUGUGGAAAAGAAUCUAUCUUUUAAAAUCAGAAUUCUCUGGCUUUGUUUCUUAUUAUUUAGCGUGAGCUCACACAACAGAACUCUCACAUUGAAAUAUUUUCUCAUUUUAAGGAAUUAAUGGCUCUCCACCAGCCCUCUAACAUGUAAAAUGAGUAGGUUACUUGUGUCCAGUACAUCCAAAAAGAGCCAGGAUAAAAUAAACAUGAGGAGUUGGAUAUCUUGGAAAAAAUCUGUCAUGGGUUUGGGUUAAUCAUCUCCAGAAGAAAUUCAACUUGAUGCCUGAAACGUAAGACUUCUUGGAGAAAGCAGUAAAGCCUGAGGCAGUGUUGAUCUGAAGGAGUGCUCUCCAUGGGUCAGAGCUGCUCUGCUGGCAGAGUGCAAACCUAGUUCACAACAGCGGUACACUGAAAAGUUGUAAAGGACUGCAGGGGCCUUACAGUGCACGCACUCAAGCUUCAGUUACAUAGUUUCAGUGGUCCAGUUUCUUACUAUAAAACAAAACUAAAAAAUAAAAUCUGGGCCUAAUUUUCCAGCCUCCUGUCUAUCAAUAAUAAUGUAGGUUUUUUUUCCACUAUUCAUGGAAUGAAGCAAUUCUGAAAUUACAGUGUAGGUUUAAAAAUGAAUGCAUAAAAUGUCAUUUAUGUACAUUCAUGCAGUAAAGUUCAGCAUGUGAAUACUUAUAAAUUAUAUAAACAUAUGAUAUUGUUAUUAAUAUUUUUACUUCCAACAUUCAAUGAAAUUAAAAAAAAAAAAAAAAGAGAGGUAAUAAGGUUUUAUCUUUGCCUGAAGAUCUUCAAUAGAAAACUUUGGCUACAGAUACUUAAUAUUAUAAACUCUCACUGUGUUUCUAGUCUUCAGGGUUCCACUGUUCUAAUGUUAUGGGUUUCCAAUUUUGACCACAUAUUUCACCUGUUUGUGUGUUAUCUCUUUGUUCCCAUUUCUACCGUUUUGUAGACUUGUGAUUUAUGGUGGUAUAUAUUCUCUGACCUAGAGAUAUUAUUUGUUCCAACAAAUUUAUUUAGAUUUUUAUACUAUACAUAAGCUCUGUCACCUUUGCUUUCCCAUCAUAGUAGUUUACCAACCUUUAACUAAAAGGAGCUUCACAUUAAGGGGGAAGAAAAUGUACUACUGAUAUUUUGCUAAUGACUACCCAGUGAUGAGUUCAGAAGGAAUGAAAUUUCACUCAAAAUGUCAUCAGAGGUUGAUAACUAGUUUAUGUCAUUGUUGAAUAAGGUAGCUCAAUAGUUUGGAUAGUUUUAUUUUUAUCGUCCGAGUUUUUUGCACUCCUUUUUUUCUGUUUUCCUUGAACUAUGUGUGCAAAAUCUAGAUAGUAUAGCUAUCUGCUCAGCCAGCAUCAACAUAAAUAAGUUGACUCCAUAUUCAGAUCCACAGCAUUUUAUUCUACAUAAGGCAAUCAUUUUGGAUGAAAAGACCCCUGAGCGCUGAAGCAUUUCAAAUCCUUUUCCAUUUGACCAUUCAAUGACCUGAUAACUAUUUCCUGUCCCUAAGUAAGGUUGUGACCCAGGUCUUAGAGUGCAAAAGACAGAUAAUUUUAGAAACAAGUUAAAUCCAAAUGGAUUUGGUUGGAGGGGGUAAGGAAGAGAAAAUUUGGCUAAAUUCCUCUAAAAUAAAGUGCCAAAACAUUUGGAUUUAGUAAGCCUAGUUGAAAGCAAUUAUUGAAUUUAUUGCCAUUUGUUUGGAUGUCUGGAGACUGUGAUCAAUAUUGAAAUUGUUUGUUUGUUUUGCUUUUACUCUAAAAUAUCCAAAUGCUAGUUAUUCUUUUUACACUGAAAAAAAAAAAAUUGCUAAUGAAGAUGUCAUUAAAAGUGCAUUUUCAGGUAUAUCCCAAGCAUUUUCUGGAGUAAAUAUUUCAAGCAUUAAAUUUAUCUUGGUAGUCGAAUUAUAUUUUUAAUGUAAGCCACAAAAAGUGUAUGCUCUGUGUCCGUAGAAAUAUCACAACUGUUGCAUCACACAAAAGUUCAUCUUGCAAAAGUAGUUCCAUUUUGUGUGGAGCUAUGAACAAAAAAAUAUAAUGUCUACUUAGAAUCAGUUAUAGGUACAAAUUUUGUUUCAGUUGCACAGCAUGUUGAUAUGUUUAUUAGUAGUGUCUCUGCAAACUUUUCUAAAGUGUACUUAGAAAGGCCUUUAUUCCAGAAUAUUUCAUCGAUUUGAGAAUAUAUUUUUUCAAUUUUCUUAUGCAGAAAUUCUUAUUCUAUAGCAAUGCUAAGGAGAACUGGUAGUAUUUGUAAGGUCAGAGAUCUGCGGUAUUCCAAUAAGGCUACUUUUCAUAUGACAAUGCAUUUAAUAUUGACACACAUCUUAAUCUUUUCCUUUUUUUUUUUUUUUUUUUUUUUUUUUUUUUAUAACUAACGAUGUUGUGAAUCAGACAGAUAAUUUAUUCUGGUAAUACACAUUUUUCAAGCAAAACAUUAAAAUUACUUUACAAUUGAAACCCAGUUAUUAAAGAAAAUAUGCCAUUCAAGGCUAAUUCUAAGAGCAAAUUCCUACACCUAUAGAUUACAUGCCCCAUGUAGUCUAUAAAAAUAGACAGUAUGUAUGUUAGAUGAUUUUUCAAGGAAUCAUAGGAGCGCUUAUAAGUAAUUCAAAUAUUGUAUUUCACAACUAUCAUUAAAUAAGGAGAAUAUGACUUACCUUACCUUAAGUUUUGUAAAUGUUUUCUAAGAGCAAAUUGGGUAUCAAGCUUACUAAAAUUGACUGUGGAAAGUCAUUUCCCUAAAGCACUUUCAUGCUUUUUAUUUUUUCAUGUGAAGCAAGCUCAGUUAGUUUUCAAAUUAUGAAAAUAACAGAGAUCACUUUGCUAAAGAUAGAACUUAAUUUUUAAAAAUUUGAAAGUUAAAUUUGCUCAGAAUUUGCUUUGGUAUCUGAUGGUGUAUAUUUUGUAAUUGAGAAAUUAGUAGGGAAUAUAAAAAGAAAAGAAGCUACGUGCUACUAAGGCAUAAAGUUCUGAUUUAACCUACCAAUGACCUGGCUUUGUUUGUUCAGAUGACAGUUCUAAAAGUGUGCAGAGAAUAUUCCCUUUUAAUACAGUUAUUUGCCGCAAGCCCUGACCUCACUGCCUGUCAGGGAGCAGGUCUGAAUUGGCCCUUUCUCUGAUAUCGUGACAUAGCUUCUGUUGCCUCGAUUGUGACCUCUGAUUGCAUGAUACCCCUGAGAGUUCAAUUUAAUAAGCGUGACUCCUGACUCUUAGCCAGGUCUGCCUUCUUAGGUUUUGUCAGACUCUGUAGACCAGAGUACAAGCAUAUGCUAAAACAUUGCAUAGGCUGUCAUCAUACUGUGUGAGUUGUGUGCACUGUAUUCAACGUUCUCUUUCAAAGAUAUUUCAUUUAUUGCAAAUGGAAAUAUUUAUAAAAAAUGACUUGGAAUAAAUUUUAAUAAUUUAAGCAUCGUUAUAACUGCUCAGUAUUUUUAUAUUUAUUCCUUUGCAAAUAGUUACUACUAUUUCAGUUUUGCUAAGCAUGCAUGUUAUGUAUGUCAUGCUAAUUUCUUUCUUUGAAAUGUGUUUUAUUUCCCCUAUGAAAGCAUUAUGUUUCUAUGACUUCCAAUCAGUAAUGCGUUUGUUCAUUAUAGAAGUAUUUGAGGUGAAUUCCCUUUUUUUUUAUUGCGUAAUUAAUACGUUGCACAAUGAGACAGUACUGACAAGCACCCUGAGAACAAGUCAGGUGAAAACUGAAGAAUCUGAUUGGAAUUUGGAAGAAGAAUCAUGAAGGAGACUGUUCAGAGACCUGGCUACCUUGAGGAUGAUGAUGCUGUUGAGACAUGCUUCAGUUUUAGUAUACCUUGAUGCAUUCGCUGAAGCAGACUGUGGAGAAGUUCAAAGAUUUGAAAGAAAGUUUCAAGAACUGUGUUACAAGUGGCAGAAGUUUAUCUGUUUACUAAUGUAUAUUUUUGUAUUCUCAUUCCUAUUUCAUGUAUCUUUUUCUACUCUUUAUAUCAGUAUCUCUAAUGUACCCUUUCUAAUGUACUGUAUUUACGUUUACAGACAAGAGAAGCAGAAAAAUCUUGCUGCAGCAAACGAAUAUUUGCUCACUUUUAUGGUUACAUUAAGGGAAUUUCUGUAAAUACUUUUUUAUAUUUCUCCACUUCAAAUGUUUUAAAGAACUCUAUUUACCUUUCUACUCAGAUUCCUUUCUUUUACAAUUGGUCAUGUAUGAAGAAUGGAAACUAUAUUAGAAUCUUUCUUACAAAAUAUGUUAUCCAAUAUAAGGCAUUAUCUUUUUACAUUCAAACUUCCUAUGAAAUGCUUUUCAUUCUUCAUAACAGUGAGCAUUACAAAUGCUACCUAUUUUGGUCAGGUAAAUCUUUUUUUAAUUGUUUCAUUUUGCUUUGUAUUUUGUUUUGCUUUGAUUCAUGUAUCUUUUGUAAGAAUUCUUGUGUGAGUUAAUAUAAUCAUCUUGUUUAGUUCACAAAAUUGUGAAACCUUUGAUUAUCUGUUCCCUUAUUCUGUAGUAAAUUUUAUACAGUAAACUACUGAAGUUCUUUAGUAUCAAGUGUAAGUUCACUCACCUAAUUGGACUUCAUGAACUUUCACUCUUUUUUGGAGCCUGUGCUAAUUUUCAGAUACUUAGGUAAGUGGCUGCAAGUAAGCAAAAUUGAACAACUGACAAAACAAAUAAAAUAAACUUUCAGGUUUAUUAGUUAUGGUUGUCUUAACAGCUUUAUCAAUUAUAAACACGAGGGAAAUUUAGCCAUUCAGGAUCACUGUGCUAUUUAACUUAUUUAUAUGUCAGUCAGGUGGAGUUUGGUGAGCAAUACAACUUAGAAAUUUAGAAAGAAAGAGUCUAAUUUAGACACCUACUUUAUGAGUGAAAUAUUACUAAUCAAGCUUAGGGAUAAUGAAAUUAUGUUCAGUAGUAAGACUGGCGUGGUUGCUUGUUUGUUUUCUCAUUAGAAAUAAUUUAAAUAAAGGUCAAAACAAAAGUCACUAAUGGAACAGAAAAGGAAUAAAUUCCUUUUUCUUCAUUCAGUGAGGUGAAUCAUUCAAGCCUCCCUGCAUAAAUAUAAAAUGAUGCCAUGGUAACAAUAACUGAUUCAAAAUCAAUAUAAUCAAGUUAAAUUCCCAUAGAGCCAAAUACUCUUGAGUGUGUGUUAUUUAACUAAAAUUAUAUAUACUAUGUUUAAGUUGUUGCACUCUCCAUGUGUUUACAAGCUGAAAAUUUCAAUCCGCUUAGUAAAGAACUCUGUAAAACUGGUAAACUCUUUGAGCCACAUCAAUUAAGAAUUAACCUGGGGCAAGUUUCCAGCAAAUCACAGUUGGUUUUUUGUUUGUUUGUUUGUUUUUAAUUUUUUUCCCCUCUACCUGUCCUUUUUUACGAAUUAAAUUCCCUUUUAUGAAUAAAUCCAUGAAACAGUGGAAUUUCAGAUUGUUUAUUUUCUUCCAUGAUGUAUCAGACAAUUAAAUAUAACUUAUUAAGAACUGG